AAACCAACAGGGAUUGCCCCAGUAAUGGCGAAUGAAGCGGCAAGAGCCCAAAUUUGAAAUCGGGCAACCGAGUUGUAAUUUGGAGACGGGACACUAGAGAGGAGGAAGGCGAUUAAGUGCCUUGGAACAGGCUGCCGUAGAGGGUGAGAGCCCCGUGAAUCGCUGGAGACCGAUCAAUUAGUGCCCGCCGAAGAGUCGAGUUGUUUGGGAAUGCAGCUCUAAGUGGGUGGUAUAUUCCAUCUAAGGCUAAAUAUUAGCGAGAGACCGAUAGCAAACAAGUACAGUGAUGGAAAGAUGAAAAGAACUUUGGAAAGAGAGUGAAAUAGUACGUGAAAUUGUUGAAAGGGAAGGGUAUUUGAUCCGACAUGGUGUUUAGCAGCGGCCCGUUCCUCGUGGAUGGGUGCACCUGGUUUACACUGGGCCAGCAUCGGUUCUGGGAGCCAUAUACGGGGUUCGUGAAUGUGGCCCUUCGAUUCUGUCGGAGGGUGUUAUAGCGCGGACAUCUUGUGGCUAGCCGGGACCGGGGACUGCGGUGACUUGUCACCAAGGAUGCUGGCAGAACGAGCAAAUACCAC
rnacentral:rRNA from 1 species